CUCUUCGGAGGACAGGAAGCAGCCCCCAGGCAGCGCAGCAGGACAGCAGGUGCAGGGCAGGGUCCAGGAACUCUGGGAGUUCAAGUCCCUGAGCGAGCUUUACUGAUCAUCUUCACUACACAGAGGUUUGGAUUGGACAGGGCAGCGCAGAAACCCCUGUCAUGCAGUGGGAUGCAGGGGCAGCUCGAAGAACCCCAGCUGGAGGUCACACAUGCCCACCACACUGCAGCAAUGCCACCCUCAUCCAUAAUCUCCAGCUGUUUGGGGCCUUGAGUGCCACUGUCCCUAUGUCAGAGGAGGAGAACACAAGUGACAGUUUCCCGUGCCAGAGAGGCCCGAAGCCAGAGUCUAGACCUGAGUGUCUCAUUCCCACCCCACUGUUCUCUCCUGGGCCCAUCCAGAAAUGGCUCCCAAGCCCAGGUGCUGGCUCUCAGUUGGGACUUUAGAGCAAUCUAAAACAAAAUCCCCGCAAGCUUUUUGUAGAAAUUGGCAUGCAGAAAUGCAAAGGUUAGAGAAUAAAAAAACUUUGGAAAAGAAGAACAAAGUUCAAGGACUAAUACUUUGUGGUUUUUAAGACUUCUUGAAGUGCUACAAUAAAAAAUAGUGUGAAAUUGGUAUAAGGAAUAGACAGGUCAGCAGAACAGAAUAGAAAACCCAGACAUAGACACACAGACAUAUGCAGGCAACUGAUUUUUGACAAAAAUGCAACGGCAAGUCAGUGGGGAAAGGAUGGUUUUUCAACAAAUGGAUUUUCAACAAAUCCGUAGGCCAAAAAAAAAAAAAAAAACCCAACAAAAACAAUAAAAAAGAACUAUGAUUCAUACCUCACACCACAUAUAAAAAUUAAGUCAAAGUGGAUCACAGACCUAAAAGUCAGUCCUCAAACUAUAAAACUUGUAGAAGAAAACAUCAUCUGGAUGUUUACAACAAUCAAAUUCUAAGACAUUUUUAUAUGGGACGCCUGGGUGGCUCAGUGGUUGAGCAUCUGCCUUUGACUCAGGUUGUGAUUCUGGAGUCCCAGGAUCAAGCCCCACAUUGGGCUCCCUGCAUGGAGCCUGCUUCUCCCUCUGCCUGUGUCUCUGCCUCUCUCUUUCUGUCUCUCUCAUGAAUAAAUAAAUAAAAUCUUUUUUUAAAUGAUGUUUUUAUAAAGAUAAAAUACUUGUAAACUUGGGGUAGGUAAAGAUUUCGCAGAUAUGACAUCCAAAGCAUGAUCCAUAAGCUAAAAUAUUCAUAAACCGGAUUUUGUCAAAUUUAAAACUCUUCUUUGAAAGACACGAAGGGAGCAGAGUAACAAACCAUAAACUGGAAGAGAAUCUUUGCAAAUCAUACACCUGAUGAGAGAUUCAUAUCAGAACAUAUAAAGAGCUCUCAAAACUCAACAAAACAAAAACAGUCAAGUAUUUCAAGAGUAACUUCCCCCAAGAAAAUGUACAGAUGGCAAACAAGCGCCUGGAAAGAUGCUCACCACCUGCAAUCAGUAGGGGAAUGCAACACCUGUGCUGAGACACCCUCCACACCUCUUAGAGCGGCUAAAAACAGGAAGAUUGCCCACAGCAAAUGUUGACAAGGAUGUGGAGGGAAUGGAAGUUCUGGGCGCUGCUGGCAGAAAUGGGACGUGGCGUAUCUGCUGUGGAAAACAGUCUGGUGGAGCUUAAAAUGUCAAAUACGUGCCCACCUGGCAACCUGGCCUGGUAUUUACCCAAGAGAAAGAAAAGCAUUAGUCCACAUGAAGACUUGUACACAAAUGCUUGUGACAGCUUCAAGACUGACGGAAACCGGAAGCGUCCAUGGACAGACUGGCAAACAGAUUGCGGUAUAUCCAUUCAGCAGCAUUCUGCUCAGCCACGAAAAGGACGGAGCGAUUGACAUGUGCAAAAAUAUGGAUGAACCUUGGGGUUUUUAUCUGGAGGGAAAUAAGCCAUACCAGAAAGAGGUAUAUAUUCUGUCCAUCCAGGUGAAAUGGUAGAAAAUGCAAACUGAUCUAUAAAGACAGAAUAGGUUAGAGUCGCCUGAGGCUUAGGGCAGGGGAUAGGGAGGUGAGGGGGUGGAUUGCAGGGUGCUCCGGGAAACCUCUGGGGUGAAGGAUGUGUUCUUUGACUUGAACAUGGUGAUGGUUUCACUGGCGGGGGGUACUGUAGUCAAAAUAUUUAAAUAUGGGAAAUCAAUUACACCUUGGUAAAGCUGUCAUGAAAAUUAAAAAUUAAAAUUAUGCAGGAA